UCCAGGUGUUAAGUGUAUGUAUG
rnacentral:snRNA from 1 species